UACGUAGGGGCCGAGCGUUGUCCGGAGUUAUUGGGCGUAAAGCGCGCGCAGGCGGCCUCGCGCGCCCGACGUGAAAGCCCCCGGCUUAACCGGGGAGGGUCGUUGGGGACGGCGGGGCUUGAGGGCGGGAGAGGUCGGUGGAAUUCCCGGUGUAGUGGUGAAAUGCGUAGAGAUCGGGAGGAACACCGGUGGCGAAGGCGGCGUUCUGGACUGUAUCUGACACUGAGGAACGAAAGCCAGGGGAGCAAACGGG
rnacentral:rRNA from 1 species